rnacentral:rRNA from 1 species
UACGUAUGGUGCAAGCGUUAUCCGGAUUUACUGGGUGUAAAGGGAGCGCAGGCGGCACGGCAAGCCUGAUGUGAAAGCCCUCGGCUUAACUGGGGGAGUGCAUUGGAAACUGAAGGACUAGAGUAUCGGAGAGGCAAGUGGAAUUCCUAGUGUAGCGGUGAAAUGCGUAGAUAUUAGGAGGAACACCAGUGGCGAAGGCGGCUCGCUGGACGAAAACUGACGUUGAGGCUCGAAAGCGUGGGGAGCAAACAGG